GAUAAGUCAAUUUCAUUUAUUUUCAAUUUAAAUCAUUCAGAACAGCGCUUUCGCCAAAAUACCAUUUUCCUUUAUAACUGCCCACGCCUGGCACUCCCCCUCCGAGACAGCUCUCACCCAUCUGUGGGAAUAAUCAAUACACAACAACAAAGUCAUGGUGCGGUCUAGUGAUAAGCAGCAACAGUAGGGCCGCAGCCCAGCCCCCAGCCCACCGCCCACAAAAGCAACCAACCAAUCGAGCAACCCAUCACCCCCAUCGUCAAACCGCAUUGACAGGAAGAACAGUCAAAAGCAGUUAUCCCCCAUUCCCCCAAGCGCACCUGCAAUUUCCGGUGCCUAGAAAAAAACGAUGACACGCGAAGAACGUCAACGAAUUGUGGACACGUCGAAUAGCAGCAGCAGCGGUGAGGAUGAGGCCAGGCCAGUGGUGCGGAGGCGGAGCAUCCGCGACACGGUGCUGUCGCCGCCCAAGGAGGAUACGGGAUGCUGUGAUCCCUCCAGCACGCCGCACCGUUUUCUCGCACUGGUGUUUAUGUGCCUCCUGGGAUUUGGUUCCUACUUUUGCUACGAUAACCCCGGGGCUCUGCAGGAUGUUUUCCAAAAGGAGCUGGACCUCAACUCGACCGAAUUCACGCUGAUCUAUUCUAUCUACUCGUGGCCGAACAUUGUGCUCUGCUUCGUGGGCGGUUUCCUGAUCGAUCGCGUUUUUGGCAUCCGACUGGGCACCAUCAUAUAUAUGCUGAUUGUGCUCGUCGGGCAGUUGAUAUUCGCCACUGGCGGUGUCCUGGGUCAUUUUUGGUUGAUGAUCAUUGGUCGCUUUGUCUUCGGCAUUGGAGCAGAGUCGCUGGCUGUGGCCCAGAACAGCUAUGCGGUGCUGUGGUUCAAAGGCAAGGAAUUAAAUAUGGUCUUUGGCCUGCAACUGUCGGUGGCCCGCUUCGGCAGCACCGUAAAUUUUUGGAUAAUGCAGCCCCUGUAUGGCUAUGUCUCAAAAUCGUACGCUGGCUACACUGGACUGGGUGUUGCCCUGUUUCUGGCCUCCACCACCUGUGUCAUGUCUUUGAUUUGCACUCUGAUUCUGGGUUGGAUGGACAAACGGGCCGAGCGCAUUCUGAAGCGUAAUAACAAUCCGGGUGGAGAGAUUGCCAAGCUGAGCGACAUAGUCACCUUCAAGAUGGAUUUCUGGAUGGUAUCGGUGGUGUGCGUGGCCUACUAUGUGGCCAUCUUCCCCUUCGUUGCCUUGGGACAGGCCUUCUUCGUGAACAACUUCCACAUGACGCCGGACGAGGCGAACACUGUCAACUCGAUUGUCUACCUGAUCUCGGCUAUUGCCUCGCCAUUGUUUGGAUUCAUCAUCGAUAAGGUGGGGCGCAAUGUAACCUGGGUGUUCUGUGCCACCAUCUCCACGUUUGUGGCUCAUGCUCUGCUGACAUUCACCCACCUGGACCCGUACAUUGGCAUGAGCAUUAUGGGGCUCUCCUAUUCCAUGUUGGCUGCCAGUCUUUGGCCGUUGGUUUCCCUGAUUGUUCCCGAGUAUCAGUUAGGCACAGCAUAUGGCUUCUGCCAGUCUGUACAGAAUUUGGGCCUGGCUGUAGUGACCAUUGUGGCUGGCAUCAUUGUGGAUAGUAGUGGUGGCAGCCACUUCUGGCUGCAGCUCUUCUUCAUGUUGUUCUUGCUGAUUUCUCUGAUGGCAACCUGUGCGAUCUGGGCCUACAAUCGCAAACAUCAGGGCAAUUUGAAUAUGUCGCCAGCACAGCGGGCCACGUAUCACACAUCGAUGUACGUGAAUAUUGAGUCGAGUUGAUUGAUGUUUGAUGUACUGAGCAUGCUAUUGAUUGAUUAAUUGAUGUCUUGACGUUGUAUUGGUGUCUUUAUCUCUAUUGUAUAUCUCAAUCCGACGCGCAACUGUGGAUCGACGGCCUCUUUUGGGCCACUAAAAAUGUACUACUAUACUAACUAUACUCGCAUAAGAACAAAUAACCCAAUUGUGAUGUUACCGCCAUCUCUCUAUCGUACUUGACUUGUUAUGCAACGUUGGAGCACAUUCUGCUAACCGCACAAAUGUCGUGGAUCCUUGAUCUUGGUCGUUAUCGUAUUCGUUCCGUUCAACUCCUAGCCAAUAUCCAAAUACUAUUAUACAUAUCAGUAUAUGCAGAAAUUAUUGUUAUAAUUGUGGAUUAUUGUUUUGUUUUAAAAUAAAUUAAUGUAAAUGUACAUUCACCGAAAAAAGCCAAAUAAAAUGCAGUCAAUUAUUUAUCUGGGCAGACACAAUAAUAAAUAAUAAUAAAAAAAAAACACAGAAAAAAAUAUAAAUACAAUUUUUGGAUUGAGAUGAAGAACAGAACAAACGCAGGGUCUUUGAUCAUUAUUUCAUUUUAUUUUCUUGAAGAAUAUGUUUUUGUAUUUGUACAAAAUAAAUAAAAUAAAUUAACUAAAGCAUAAUGCAGAAAUUCAAACAAUUUUGGCUUUUUUCUUUCAAUCUUUCGUUCGUUUCAAAUGAGUUUAAAUGAAGUCAAAACUUUAAUUGAAAGAUACAUCAAAUAAAAAUAUGUUUCAAAAAAAUCUCUAUGACAGACUAGAGAAAACAAUAGUAAUAAUAGUAAUAAACACAUACUCGUAUGUAGAUGAGUUAAUACAUUUUCCUUUGUUGUUUUGAGAAUUUUGUUCAAGGAUGGAUGAAAACAAAGCUUGG
rnacentral:misc_RNA from 1 species